rnacentral:rRNA from 1 species
UGAACGCUGGCGGCGUGCCUAAUACAUGCAAGUCGAGCGAACGGACGAGAAGCUUGCUUCUCUGAUGUUAGCGGCGGACGGGUGAGUAACACGUGGAUAACCUACCUAUAAGACUGGGAUAACUUCGGGAAACCGGAGCUAAUACCGGAUAAUAUUUUGAACCGCAUGGUUCAAAAGUGAAAGACGGUCUUGCUGUCACUUAUAGAUGGAUCCGCGCUGCAUUAGCUAGUUGGUAAGGUAACGGCUUACCAAGGCAACGAUGCAUAGCCGACCUGAGAGGGUGAUCGGCCACACUGGAACUGAGACACGGUCCAGACUCCUACGGGAGGCAGCAGUAGGGAAUCUUCCGCAAUGGGCGAAAGCCUGACGGAGCAACGCCGCGUGAGUGAUGAAGGUCUUCGGAUCGUAAAACUCUGUUAUUAGGGAAGAACAUAUGUGUAAGUAACUGUGCACAUCUUGACGGUACCUAAUCAGAAAGCCACGGCUAACUACGUA